UAGAGUUUGAUCCUGGCUCAGAACGAACGCUGGCGGCAGGCUUAACACAUGCAAGUCGAGCGCCCCGCAAGGGGAGCGGCAGACGGGUGAGUAACGCGUGGGAAUUUACCUUUUGCUACGGAAUAACUCAGGGAAACUUGUGCUAAUACCGUAUGUGCCCUUCGGGGGAAAGAUUUAUCGGCAAAGGAUGAGCCCGCGUUGGAUUAGCUAGUUGGUGAGGUAAAGGCUCACCAAGGCGACGAUCCAUAGCUGGUCUGAGAGGACGAUCAGCCACACUGGGACUGAGACACGGCCCAGACUCCUACGGGAGGCAGCAGUGGGGAAUUUUGGACAAUGGGGGCAACCCUGAUCCAGCCAUGCCGCGUGCGGGAAGAAGGCCUUCGGGUUGUAAACCGCUUUUGUUCGGGAAGAAAUCCUCUGGGCUAAUACCCCGGGGGGAUGACGGUACCGGAAGAAUAAGCACCGGCUAACUACGUGCCAGCAGCCGCGGUAA
rnacentral:rRNA from 1 species